GACUCCCUGCUGUGCUCGUGAUAGACGAGUAAAGUCUUGAGCCAACACCCGAGAUUUGGGUGCCAUAAUAGAACGGUGGAGUGCGACUCCUAAGCGAGAACGCACAAAGUCGUUCCGAGGCUCCCGCCUUAAGUUCUAGGGUUCAGAGACUUUUCGCUACACGGCACAAGCAGGGUUUUG
rnacentral:other from 1 species